AAGAUCUCUGCGGGAGAGACCGGCCCUGCCCGAAAGGCAGCCCGGCGCCGAAGGAGCAACCGCCCCGGAAACUCUCAGGCAAAAGGACCGCAGAAGGAUG
rnacentral:ncRNA from 1 species